CCCUUAGAUGUUCUGGGCCGCACGCGCGCUACACUGUUUGAUUCAGCGAGUCUUAACCUUGACCGAAAGGUUUGGGUAAUCUUCUAAAGUCAAACGUGAUGGGGAUCGAUCAUUGCAAUUAUUGAUCGUGAACGAGGAAUUCCUAGUAAAUGCAAGUCAUCAGCUUGCGUUGAUUACGUCCCUGCCCUUUGUACACACCGCCCGUCGCUACUACCGAUUGAAUGGUUUAGUGAGGCCUUCGGAUCCGCGACUCGUUUUGUGGAGAAGUUGGACAAACUCAGUCAUUUAGAGGAAGUAAAAGUCGUAACA
rnacentral:rRNA from 1 species